CACACCGGUGCGCGCACACAAUUUGACUUCUUCCUGGGGGUUCCUGAAACACUCAGGCUAGAGGAAUUUUAAGAGCCUACACAACUCACUGAUGGGAGAGACCUCACUCUUCUCCGAGGUGAGCCUUGAGGGGCGGGGUGGUUGUCCUCCCCAGAGUGGCUCCUCGGUGACCACUGGCCGUGCGGCAUGGCCCUUGCUGUCACAACGCCGGGUUUCCUUGGCAGUCCGGCCUUGGAGAGGCUGGCCAGGGGCUCUGGCACUUGCUCCUGUUUGUAAGAGUCUUGCUCCACUCCCUGGCGAUGGCUUGCAAAGCCAAACCAGCGACACACAGGGAAUUUCCAUUUGCCACGUCUAGGAUGAGCAACUACUCAGGUGGCAUCGUUUUAGGGGCUGCUAAAGAUUCGAAUCCCAAAUAGUGCUCUUAGCGUGAAGUGAUUUGCUACCAUGUAUUGAAAGAAGUCGGGAUGAUGCCACAUUCCCAAGGGAUGCCAGAAGACCUCAAUUUAAAAGGAAAUAUAUGAGUCCUGUACAGAAACCAUGUGGCUAGCAAGUCAGUAUUCUAUUACCAAAGCUUAUGUCUUAUCUUUACCUGGUUGGCAAUCCACUGAACUCUACCAGCUUACAGAGAAAAACAGUAACUUUAUGUUGGAGAAACCUAGUAAAUACCACCUUAACCAAGUGAACAAAGUUAACAUCAAGAAUAAUGGGACAGGGGACCUUCAAGAUGGCAGAGGAGUAAGAUAUGGAGAUCACCUUCCUCCCCACAAA